AGAGUUUGAUCCUGGCUCAGGACGAACGCUGGCGGCGUGCUUAACACAUGCAAGUCGAACGGUCUACCUCGACAGAAACCUUCGGGUUGAAGACGAGAUCUAGAUAGUGGCGGACGGGUGAGUAACACGUGAAUAAUCUAUCCUCAAGUUUGGGAUAACCUGGCGAAAGUCGGGCUAAUCCGAGGUAAGCUGAGAGUGUGGCAUCACACAAUCAGAAAAGGUGGCAUUGCCAUCGUUUGAGGAGGAGUUCGCGGAGAUUAGCUAGCUGGUGAGGUAACGGCUCACCAGGGCAACAAUCUAUAGCUGUCUGAGAGGACGAUCAGUCACACUGGAACUGAGACACGGUCCAGACUCCUACGGGAGGCAGCAGUGGGGAAUCUUCCACAAUGGGCGCAAGCCUGAUGGAGCAACGCCGCGUGAAUGAAGAAGGCCUUAGGGUCGUAAAGUUCUGUCCUUAGGGAAGAACCGUGGGUAUAGCAAAUGAUACCCACCUGACGGUACCUUUGGAGGAAGCACUGGCUAACUACGUGCCAGCAGCCGCGGUAAUACGUAGAGUGCAAGCGUUGUCCGGAAUUAUUGGGCGUAAAGGGUACGCAGGCGGAUAGUAAGUCAAGCGUGAAGGUGUCGGCUUAACCGACAGACUGCGUUUGAAAUGAUUAUCUUGAGUGUAACAGAGGAGAGUGGAAUUCCUAGUGUAGUGGUGAAA
rnacentral:rRNA from 1 species